AACGAACGCUGGCGGCAUGCCUAACACAUGCAAGUCGAACGAGACCUUCGGGUCUAGUGGCGCACGGGUGCGUAACGCGUGGGAACCUGCCCUUAGGUUCGGAAUAACUCCCCGAAAGGGGUGCUAAUACCGGAUAAUGUCUUCGGACCAAAGAUUUAUCGCCUUUGGAUGGGCCCGCGUUGGAUUAGCUAGUUGGUAGGGUAAAAGCCUACCAAGGCGACGAUCCAUAGCUAGUCUGAGAGGAUGAUCAGCCACACUGGGACUGAGACACGGCACAGACUCCUACGGGAGGCAGCAGUGGGGAAUAUUGGACAAUGGGCGAAAGCCUAAUCCAGCAAUGCCGCGUGAGUGAUGAAGGCCUUAGGGUUGUAAAGCUCUUUUACCCGGGAUGAUAAUGACAGUACCGGGAGAAUAAGCUCCGGCUAACUCCGUG
rnacentral:rRNA from 1 species